UGGAUUUAUUAUGUCAGUUAUUUUAUUCCUGGCCCUCAACCUAUGAAAUGCACUACUAUAUGACCAACAGCCUCGAUAAACUUAACAGACCAACCUUCAUUCAUAUGUACUACAUCCUCUGAACUAUGCUUUUACAAACAUUGAAUGGAGACAUUAAGAACUCCAAAACCAAAAAGUACUACGAGUUUGUAUCCUGAAACUCCCUGCAGAUAUAUCUGCAGAAUACUCAUGUCACAAUAUUAAAAAUUAGUCA